GAGAGAGAGAGAGAGGGAGGGGGAGAGAGAGAGAGAGGGAGAGAGAGGGAGGGGGAUAGAGAGAGAGAUAGAGAGAGAGAGAGGGAGAGAGAGAGGGGAUAGAGAGAGAGAUAGAGAGAGAGGGAGAGAGAGAGGGAGGGGGAUAGAGAGGGAUAGAGAGAUAGAGAGAGAGAGGGAGAGAGAGGGGGGAUAGAGAGAGAGAGAGGGAUAGAGAGAGGGAGAGAAAGAGAGAGGAAGAGACAGAGAGAGGAGAGAGCGGAAGAGAGAGAGAGAGAGGGAUAGAGAGAGAGGGAGAGAGGGAGAGGAGAGGAAGAGAGAGAGAGAGGAAGAGGGAGAGAGAGAGGGAUAGAGAGAGAGAGGGAGAGAGGAAGAGGGAGAGGAGAGAGAGAGGGGGGAUAGAGAGAGAGGGGGGAGAGAGGGAUAGAGAGAGAGGAGAAAGAGAGGGGAAUAGAGAGGAGGGAGAGAGAGAGGGAGAGGAGAGAGAGAGAGAGGGAGGGGGAGAGAGGGAUAGAGAGAGGGAGAGAAAGAGAGAGGAAGAGACAGAGAGAGAGGAGAGAGAGGAAGAGAGAGAGAGAGGGAUAGAGAGAGAGAGGGGGGAUAGAGAGAGGGAGGGAGGGGGAGAGAGAGGGAUAGAGAGAGGGAGAGAGGGAGAGGAGAGAGAGGAGAAAGAGAGGGGAAUAGAGAGGAGGGAGAGAGAGGGAGAGGAGAGAGAGAGAGGGAGAGAGAGGGAUAGAGAGAGAGGGAAAGAGAGAGAAAGAGACAGAGAGAGGAGAGAGGAAGAGAGAGAGAGAGGGAUAGAGAGAUAGAGAGAGAGGAAGAGGGAGAGAGAGAGAGGAGAGAGAAAAAGAGGGAGAUAGAGAGGAGGGAGAGGAGGGAGAGAGAGGGAGAGAGAGGGGGAGAGAGAUGGGGGACAGAGAGAGAGGGGGGAUAGAGAGAGGGAGAGAGUGAGAGAGAGGAGAGAGAUGGGGAGAGAGGGAGAGGGAGAGACAGAGAGAGAGAAAGAGGGGGGAGAGAGGAGACAGGGAGAGAGAGGGAGAGAGAGGAGAGAGGGGGGAGAGAGAAAGAGAGGAGAGAGAUGGGGAGAGAGAGAGGGAGAGAGAUGGGGAGAGGGGGGUGGGAGAGAGGAGAGACAGAGAGGGGGGAGAGAGAGAGACAGAGACAGAGGAGAGAUAGGGAGAGAGGAGGGGGAGGAGAGAGAGACAGAGAGGAGAGAGAGGGGAGAGAGAGAGAGAGAGAGAGAGGGGGAGAGAGGAGAGAUAGAGAGACAGGGAGAGGGGGGAGAAAGAGGAGAGGGACAGAGAGAGAGAGGGGGAGAGAGAGAGAGAGAGAGAGGGGGAU
rnacentral:lncRNA from 1 species